CAGAGUGUAACGCAGUUGGUAGCGUGCCUGCUUUGGGAGCAGGAUGUCGUUGGUUCGAAUCCAACCUCUCUGA
rnacentral:tRNA from 2 species